UGUGGCUGAGUAGCAAAAGCACCUGACUGUAAAUCAGGCGUCUAACGACUUCGUAGGUGCGAGUCCUACCACAUGUACCA
rnacentral:tRNA from 1 species